rnacentral:lncRNA from 1 species
AGAGAAGCCAAAUUUAGGCAUGCUUUACAGUUUGAGGACUAAUCUGAAAGAGGAAGAAGAAUCUGUAUACAUUGGCUAGCAUAUAUGCCCUGCCCUCUUUCUUCCUGAAAAUCGUAGCAACCCAUCUUUUCAAAGAAGCUUGUGUAAACAGGCACCCUGUAAACGGAGUGUGCUUUCAAGACCCUUCAGGGUAUUCAGAUUCACUAUGCAGCUCACCAAGACGGUUAGCUCUCCAAGGGACGAAUAGAUUGGAUUUAAUGAAGACUUGGAGUGUGCUUCUGAGAAUAAAUGCAAAAGGACCCCGAACUGUCAAUCUUGAAGGCAAAAGGUCUAGUGGAAUUGGGAUGGGAAUUAUGACUAUGACACAAAACAAUAAAUGAAAAUUAUCAAGAAAGUAAAAACAAAACACUGCAGGACAUCAAUGGAGAAAUGUACUAAAUUGGAUUGAAAGGAAGAAGAAUGGUUUUUUGUUUGACCGGAAAUAAAAGAAGAAGUACUAUUACUACCUUCACUUAAUAGAAGACACCAGCCAAGGUAGGUAGAUCCCCAGCUCUACCCAGA